rnacentral:misc_RNA from 1 species
AACGCAGCUUGCGCUCUCUGGUAUUCCGGAGAGCAUGCCUGUUUCAGUGUCAUGAAAUCCCAACCACUAGGGUUUCCUAAUGGAUUGGAUUUGGGUGUUGCGAUCUCUGAUCGCUCGCCUUAAAAGAGUUAGCAAGUUUGACAUAUAUGUCUGGUGUAAUAAGCUUCACUGGGUCCAUUGUGUUGAAGCGUGCUUCUAAUCGUCCGCAAGGACAAUUACUUUGACUCUGGCCUGAAAUCAGGUAGGACUACCCGCUGAACUUAA